GGGUUGUGAGGUUAAGCGACUAAGCGUACACGGUGGAUGCCCUGGCAGUCAGAGGCGAUGAAGGACGUGCUAAUCUGCGAUAAGCGUCGGUAAGGUGAUAUGAACCGUUAUAACCGGCGAUUUCCGAAUGGGGAAACCCAGUGUGAUUCGUCACACUAUCAUUAACUGAAUCCAUAGGUUAAUGAGGCGAACCGGGGGAACUGAAACAUCUAAGUACCCCGAGGAAAAGAAAUCAACCGAGAUUCCCCCAGUAGCGGCGAGCGAACGGGGAGCAGCCCAGAGCCUGAAUCAGUGUGUGUGUUAGUGGAAGCGUCUGGAAAGGCGCGCGAUACAGGGUGACAGCCCCGUACACAAAAAUGCACAUGCUGUGAGCUCGAUGAGUAGGGCGGGACACGUGGUAUCCUGUCUGAAUAUGGGGGGACCAUCCUCCAAGGCUAAAUACUCCUGACUGACCGAUAGUGAACCAGUACCGUGAGGGAAAGGCGAAAAGAACCCCGGCGAGGGGAGUGAAAAAGAACCUGAAACCGUGUACGUACAAGCAGUGGGAGCACAGAGCAAUCUGUGUGACUGCGUACCUUUUGUAUAAUGGGUCAGCGACUUAUAUUCUGUAGCAAGGUUAACCGAAUAGGGGAGCCGAAGGGAAACCGAGUCUUAACUGGGCGUUAAGUUGCAGGGUAUAGACCCGAAACCCGGUGAUCUAGCCAUGGGCAGGUUGAAGGUUGGGUAACACUAACUGGAGGACCGAACCGACUAAUGUUGAAAAAUUAGCGGAUGACUUGUGGCUGGGGGUGAAAGGCCAAUCAAACCGGGAGAUAGCUGGUUCUCCCCGAAAGCUAUUUAGGUAGCGCCUCGUGAAUUCAUCUCCGGGGGUAGAGCACUGUUUCGGCAAGGGGGUCAUCCCGACUUACCAACCCGAUGCAAACUGCGAAUACCGGAGAAUGUUAUCACGGGAGACACACGGCGGGUGCUAACGUCCGUCGUGAAGAGGGAAACAACCCAGACCGCCAGCUAAGGUCCCAAAGUCAUGGUUAAGUGGGAAACGAUGUGGGAAGGCCCAGACAGCCAGGAUGUUGGCUUAGAAGCAGCCAUCAUUUAAAGAAAGCGUAAUAGCUCACUGGUCGAGUCGGCCUGCGCGGAAGAUGUAACGGGGCUAAACCAUGCACCGAAGCUGCGGCAGCGACGCUUAUGCGUUGUUGGGUAGGGGAGCGUUCUGUAAGCCUGUGAAGGUGUACUGUGAGGUACGCUGGAGGUAUCAGAAGUGCGAAUGCUGACAUAAGUAACGAUAAAGCGGGUGAAAAGCCCGCUCGCCGGAAGACCAAGGGUUCCUGUCCAACGUUAAUCGGGGCAGGGUGAGUCGACCCCUAAGGCGAGGCCGAAAGGCGUAGUCGAUGGGAAACAGGUUAAUAUUCCUGUACUUGGUGUUACUGCGAAGGGGGGACGGAGAAGGCUAUGUUGGCCGGGCGACGGUUGUCCCGGUUUAAGCGUGUAGGCUGGUUUUCCAGGCAAAUCCGGAAAAUCAAGGCUGAGGCGUGAUGACGAGGCACUACGGUGCUGAAGCAACAAAUGCCCUGCUUCCAGGAAAAGCCUCUAAGCAUCAGGUAACAUCAAAUCGUACCCCAAACCGACACAGGUGGUCAGGUAGAGAAUACCAAGGCGCUUGAGAGAACUCGGGUGAAGGAACUAGGCAAAAUGGUGCCGUAACUUCGGGAGAAGGCACGCUGAUAUGUAGGUGAAGUCCCUCGCGGAUGGAGCUGAAAUCAGUCGAAGAUACCAGCUGGCUGCAACUGUUUAUUAAAAACACAGCACUGUGCAAACACGAAAGUGGACGUAUACGGUGUGACGCCUGCCCGGUGCCGGAAGGUUAAUUGAUGGGGUUAGCGCAAGCGAAGCUCUUGAUCGAAGCCCCGGUAAACGGCGGCCGUAACUAUAACGGUCCUAAGGUAGCGAAAUUCCUUGUCGGGUAAGUUCCGACCUGCACGAAUGGCGUAAUGAUGGCCAGGCUGUCUCCACCCGAGACUCAGUGAAAUUGAACUCGCUGUGAAGAUGCAGUGUACCCGCGGCAAGACGGAAAGACCCCGUGAACCUUUACUAUAGCUUGACACUGAACAUUGAGCCUUGAUGUGUAGGAUAGGUGGGAGGCUUUGAAGUGUGGACGCCAGUCUGCAUGGAGCCGACCUUGAAAUACCACCCUUUAAUGUUUGAUGUUCUAACGUUGACCCGUAAUCCGGGUUGCGGACAGUGUCUGGUGGGUAGUUUGACUGGGGCGGUCUCCUCCUAAAGAGUAACGGAGGAGCACGAAGGUUGGCUAAUCCUGGUCGGACAUCAGGAGGUUAGUGCAAUGGCAUAAGCCAGCUUGACUGCGAGCGUGACGGCGCGAGCAGGUGCGAAAGCAGGUCAUAGUGAUCCGGUGGUUCUGAAUGGAAGGGCCAUCGCUCAACGGAUAAAAGGUACUCCGGGGAUAACAGGCUGAUACCGCCCAAGAGUUCAUAUCGACGGCGGUGUUUGGCACCUCGAUGUCGGCUCAUCACAUCCUGGGGCUGAAGUAGGUCCCAAGGGUAUGGCUGUUCGCCAUUUAAAGUGGUACGCGAGCUGGGUUUAGAACGUCGUGAGACAGUUCGGUCCCUAUCUGCCGUGGGCGCUGGAGAACUGAGGGGGGCUGCUCCUAGUACGAGAGGACCGGAGUGGACGCAUCACUGGUGUUCGGGUUGUCAUGCCAAUGGCACUGCCCGGUAGCUAAAUGCGGAAGAGAUAAGUGCUGAAAGCAUCUAAGCACGAAACUUGCCCCGAGAUGAGUUCUCCCUGACUCCUUGAGAGUCCUGAAGGAACGUUGAAGACGACGACGUUGAUAGGCCGGGUGUGUAAGCGCAGCGAUGCGUUGAGCUAACCGGUACUAAUGAACCGUGAGGCUUAACCUUACAACGCCGAAG
rnacentral:rRNA from 1 species